AGAGUUUGAUCAUGGCUCAGAACGAACGCUGGCGGCAGGCUUAACACAUGCAAGUCGAACGCUCGUAGCAAUACGGGAGUGGCGGACGGGUGAGUAACGCGUGGGAACGUGCCCUGAGGUACGGAAUAACUGAGGGAAACUUCAGCUAAUACCGUAUGAGCCCGAGAGGGGGAAAGAUUUAUCGCCUUGGGAGCGGCCCGCGUCGGAUUAGCUAGUUGGUGGGGUAACGGCCUACCAAGGCUUCGAUCCGUAGCUGGUCUGAGAGGACGAUCAGCCACACUGGGACUGAGACACGGCCCAGACUCCUACGGGAGGCAGCAGUGGGGAAUCUUGCGCAAUGGGGGCAACCCUGACGCAGCCAUGCCGCGUGAACGAUGAAGGCCUUAGGGUUGUAAAGUUCUUUUACCCGUGACGAUGAUGACGGUAACGGGGGAAUAAGCUCCGGCUAACUUCGUG
rnacentral:rRNA from 1 species